UACGCAGGGGGCUAGCGUUGCUCGGAAUCACUGGGCGUAAAGGGUGCGUAGGCGGGUCUUUACGUCAGGGGUGAAAUCCUGGAGCUCAACUCCAGAACUGCCUUUGAUACUGAAGAUCUUGAGUUCGGGAGAGGUGAGUGGAACUGCGAGUGUAGAGGUGAAAUUCGUAGAUAUUCGCAAGAACACCAGUGGCGAAGGCGGCUCACUGGCCCGAUACUGACGCUGAGGCACGAAAGCGUGGGGAGCAAACAGG
rnacentral:rRNA from 1 species